CAUGCAGUCGACGAUGAUGAGUAGCUUGCUACUCUGAUUAGUGGCGCACGGGUGAGUAAUAUAUAGAUAACGUACCUCUUAGACUGGGAUAGCCAUUGGAAACGAUGAUUAAUACUAGAUACUCCUUCUAGCUCUAAUGCUAGUCGGGAAAGUUUUUUCGCUAAGAGAUCGGUCUAUAUCCUAUCAGCUAGUUGGUGAGGUAAUGGCUCACCAAGGCAAUGACAGGUAGCGGGUUUGAGAGGAUGAUCCGCCACACUGGUACUGAGACACGGACCAGACUCCUACGGGAGGCAGCAGUGAGGAAUAUUGCACAAUGGGGGAAACCCUGAUGCAGCAACGCCGCGUGGAGGAUGACGCAUUUCGGUGUGUAAACUCCUUUUAUAUGUCAAGAAAAUGACGGUAGCAUAUGAAUAAGCACCGGCUAACUCCGUGCCAGCAGCCGCGGUAAUACGGAGGGUGCAAGCGUUAUUCGGAAUCACUGGGCGUAAAGGACGCGUAGGCGGGUUUGUAAGUCAGGUGUGAAAUCCUACAGCUUAACUGUAGAACUGCACUUGAAACUACUGACCUAGAGUAUGGGAGGGGGAGAUGGAAUUAGUGGGUGUACGGGUAAAAUCCGUAGAUAUCACUAGGAAUACCUAAAGCGAAGGCGAUCUCCUGGAACAUAACUGACGCUACGCGUGAAAGCGUGGGGAGCAAACAGAUAGAUACCCUGUAGUCCACGCCCUAA
rnacentral:rRNA from 1 species